GGGGGCAAGCGUUGUUCGGAAUUACUGGGCGUAAAGGGCGCGUAGGUGGCCUUCUAAGUUGAACGUGAAAUCCCUGGGCUCAACCCAGGAACUGCGUCCAAGACUGGGAGGCUUGAAUCCGGGAGAGGGAUGCGGAAUUCCAGGUGUAGCGGUGAAAUGCGUAGAUAUCUGGAGGAACACCGGUGGCGAAGGCGGCAUCCUGGACCGGUAUUGACACUGAGGCGCGAAAGCCAGGGGAGCAAACGGG
rnacentral:rRNA from 1 species